UGAUGCCGUUGCCUGCAAAGGCGACAGCUCGGCCGAAAUGCAGACAAGUGACGACCGCUCGUGUCGAUCGGCUUGAACUCGACGUUGUAAUUUCUCCCUCGUUGAGCUACGAUCUUCACGUCUUUGACGGUACACUUUGAAACACACUCAUUUUGAGCAAAUUUGACCUCAAAUCAGGCAGGAUUACCCGCUGAACUUAA
rnacentral:misc_RNA from 1 species